UGGGGAAUCUUGCGCAAUGGGCGAAAGCCUGACGCAGCCAUGCCGCGUGAAUGAUGAAGGUCUUAGGAUUGUAAAAUUCUUUCAGCGGGGACGAUAAUGACGGUACCCGCAGAAGAAGCCCCGGCUAACUUCGUGCCAGCAGCCGCGGUAAUACGAAGGGGGCUAGCGUUGCUCGGAUUUACUGGGCGUAAAGGGAGCGUAGGCGGAACGACAAGUCAGAGGUGAAAGCCCGGGGCUCAACCUCGGAAUUGCCUUUGAGACUGUCGAUCUAGAGUUUGGGAGAGGUGUGUGGAACUCCGAGUGUAGAGGUGAAAUUCGUAGAUAUUCGGAAGAACACCAGUGGCGAAGGCGACACACUGGCCCAAUACUGACGCUGAGGCUCGAAAGCGUGGGGAGCAAACAG
rnacentral:rRNA from 1 species